rnacentral:tRNA from 1 species
CUGGAGAUGGCUCAGCAGUUAAGAGCACUGACUGUUCUUCCAGAGGACCUGGGUUCAAUUCCCAGUACCCACA